UGGCGGACGGGUGAGUAAUGUCUGGGAAACUGCCUGAUGGAGGGGGAUAACUACUGGAAACGGUAGCUAAUACCGCAUAACGUCGCAAGACCAAAGAGGGGGACCUUCGGGCCUCUUGCCAUCGGAUGUGCCCAGAUGGGAUUAGCUAGUAGGUGGGGUAACGGCUCACCUAGGCGACGAUCCCUAGCUGGUCUGAGAGGAUGACCAGCCACACUAGAACUGAGACACGGUCCAG
rnacentral:rRNA from 1 species